UCAGCUCGUGUUGUGAAAUGUUGGGUUAAGUCCCGCAACGAGCGCAACCCUUAUCCUUUGUUGCCAGCGGUCCGGCCGGGAACUCAAAGGAGACUGCCAGUGAUAAACUGGAGGAAGGUGGGGAUGACGUCAAGUCAUCAUGGCCCUUACGACCAGGGCUACACACGUGCUACAAUGGCGCAUACAAAGAGAAGCGACCUCGCGAGAGCAAGCGGACCUCAUAAAGUGCGUCGUAGUCCGGAUUGGAGUCUGCAACUCGACUCCAUGAAGUCGGAAUCGCUAGUAAUCGUGGAUCAGAAUGCCACGGUGAAUACGUUCCCGGGCCUUGUACACACCGCCCGUCACACCAUGGGAGUGGGUUGCAAAAGAAGUAGGUAGCUUAACCUUCGGGAGGGCGCUUACCACUUUGUGAUUCAUGACUGGGGUGAAGUCGUAACAAGGUAACCGUAGGGGAACCUGCGGUUGGAUCACCUCCUUACCUUAAAGAA
rnacentral:rRNA from 1 species